AUAGCGACUAUCGUGGCAUAUCAAUAAGCGGAGGAAAAGAAACUAACAUAGGAUUCCCUCAGUAACGGCGAGUGAAGCGGGAAGAGCUCAAAUUUGAAAUCUUCAAGGUUCUACCUUGACGAAUUGUAGUUUAAAGAAGUGUUUUCUGUUGAAGUUUUGGUAAAAGUUCUUUGGAAUAGGACAUCAUAGAGGGUGAGAAUCCCGUAUUUGAUCAUUCUUUCUAGCUGUGUGAUACACUUUCAACGAGUCGGAUUGUUUGGGAAUGCAGUCCAAAAUGGGUGGUAAAUUUCAUCUAAAGCUAAAUAUUGGCGAGAGACCGAUAGCGAACAAGUACCGUGAGGGAAAGAUGAAAAGAACUUUGAAAAGAGAGUUAAACAGUACGUGAAAUUGUCAAAAGGGAAGCGUUUGACACCAGUGUUGUUUUCUCGAAAAUCAAUUAAAAAGGAUGGGAUUUUGUGUUGUAUUGACCUUUAAUCAGCUUUCUUCACUUUUUCUUGAUCUUUUUUAAUGCACUUUUCGUUUAACAAGUCAACAUCAGUUUCUUUUGUUGUAAAAGAGGUCAUUGGAAGGUGGCUUUUUCUUCGGAAAAAGUGUUUAUAGCCUUUGGCUUCUGCAAUCGGAGAGAUUGAGGUCUGCAGCGUAGAUCCUUCGGGGUUAGAUACAUUUGUGCUAAGCUAUAGUUCUUUAUAGACAACUUGUUGACUAUAAUCAAUCCUGUAACUUACUCGCUUAUGCUAUUUUACCUACGCUUAGGAUGUUGAUAGUCACAGCGUGUAC
rnacentral:rRNA from 1 species